rnacentral:rRNA from 1 species
UACGACUACAUAUCAGGCAUAUCAAUAAGCGGAGGAAAAGAAACUAACUAGGAUUCCCUCAGUAACGGCGAGUGAAGCGGGAAGAGCUCAAAUUUGAAAUCUUCAAGGUUUUACCUUGACGAAUUGUAGUUUAAAGAAGUGUUUUCUGUUGGUGUUUUGGUAAAAGUUCUUUGGAAUAGGACAUCAUAGAGGGUGAGAAUCCCGUAUUUGGUCAUUCCUCCUAGCGUUGUGAUACACUUUCAAAGAGUCGGAUUGUUUGGGAAUGCAGUCCAAAAUGGGUGGUAAAUUUCAUCCUAAAGCUAAAUAUUGGCGAGAGACCGAUAGCGAACAAGUACCGUGAGGGAAAGAUGAAAAGAACUUUGAAAAGAGAGUUAAACAGUACGUGAAAUUGUCAAAAGGGAAGCGUUUGACACCAGUGUUGUUUUCUCGAAAAUCAAUUAAAAAGAAGUUGGAUUUUGUAUUGUUAAGACCUUAUCAGCUUACUGUACUUUUUUCUUGCUCUUUUUAAUGCACUUUUCGUUUAACAAGUCAACAUCAAUUUCUUUUGUUGUAAAAGGGUCAUUGGAAGGUGGCUUUCACUUCGGUGAAAGUGUUUAUAGCCUUUGGCUUCUACAAUCGGAGAGAUUGGGGUCUGCAGCGUAGAUCCUUCGGGGUUAGAUACGUAGAUGCUAAGUUAUAGUUUUUUAUAGACAACUUGUUGACUAUGAUUAAUCAUGUAGCUUACUCGUUUACGCUAUUUUACCUACGCUUAGGAUGUUGAUCUCUCACAGUCGAGC